CGGAAGACCACGUGGACAGUUGAUGGAACGGUUGAUGACAUUGGAGGCAUAUUUUCCCAUUUUGCUUUUCAACAGCUGCAUUUAAUUUAACACACCAUUGCACAUCCUGCAAUACAAGACCUGUUCAUUUGAGCUCCGCAUCCUCUCUCCCUCGCUGCUCUCUCUCCCCCUCCUCUUCGGGAUUUUAUAGCGGCCUAGAUUCCCCAAUAUUUACAAGAUCUCGACGCUAAAUUAUCCUUGCAGAGAGCCCGGUGCGGGACCGACGAUGAGAUCCCUGCCCCCCGUGCCUGUUUUCCCUUUGACGGUCACAUCUGGUCCCCUGAUAGAUAGUUAUUCGUACAGUGCAUCAGCUUCCGGAUAUACCUGACUCCGUCCUGAUCUCGGUGCUCGGUGAUUUGACCUGUGUACUCCAAAGCCCCCCUUCUUCACUGUCCCGUCCUGGGCUGUCAGGCCUGCCGAGUCGAUACAAACUGUGGCCUGGGGCCUGUUGGUGUGGAGAGCCUGGUAUGGUGUGGACCCGGGACUCCCCACUGAGUCUCUGGCCUGGCUCUGGGUGAUCUAAGACCUGCUGAGAACAAUGGUGGCCACGCUGAGCCACGCUCCACGGCCCCAAGACACACGACCACCGAGCCACACCUGCAUCGCAGCCUACACCUGUCAAUCAAUACCAGCCAGGUGACAGGCCUGCAGCUAAGGGGCUCUAAAAGGAGCUUCCUAGAGUGACUCUCAACUCCAGUAUGUCACCCCUCUCUUCUCCUCUGAUGGUUCUCAUGGAUUUGGUUUCCUGUGGAACAAACAAAGACAGUCUGCAGCGUGUACACAGCUGGUUGGGAGACAAGACUUCCAGAUUUUCCGGCCUGGAGAAAUGGAGCCG
rnacentral:lncRNA from 1 species